rnacentral:miRNA from 1 species
AUAUGGCUAGGUCAAACCCA